rnacentral:rRNA from 1 species
CCUGUUUAACAAAAACAUGUCUUUUUGAGUUAUUUUAAAAGUCUGACCUGCCCACUGAAAUUAUUUAAAUGGCCGCAGUAUUCUAACUGUGCAAAGGUAGCAUAAUCAUUAGUCUUUUAAUUGAAGGCUGGUAUGAACGGUUGGACGAGGUAUAAGCUGUUUCAUAUAAAUUUAUAAUAGAAUUUUAUAUUUUAGUCAAAAAGCUAAAAUUUAAUUAAAAGACGAGAAGACCCUAUAAAUCUUUAUAUUUUAAGUUGUUUAAAUUUUUUAGAUUAAUUUUAUUUUUAUAAUUUAGAGUAUUUUGUUGGGGUGAUAUUAAAAUUUAAUGAACUUUUAGUUGUUAAAAAUCAUUAAUUUAUGAGUUAUUGAUCCAUUAAUAGUGAUUAUAAGAUUAAGUUACUUUAGGGAUAACAGCGUAAUUUUUUUGGAGAGUUCAUAUCGAUAAAAAAGUUUGCGACCUCGAUGUUGGAUUAAGAUAUAUUUUUAGGUGUAGCCGCUUAAWU